CAUCAUAUCAUGAAGUGACACAAUUGCUGCUGAGAAGAAAAAGGAAUGAUGAAUUUUUCCAGAAGUACAGUUUAAGGCAACAAACACAUCUGGUACCACACAGAGAAACUUGCCCUCAAUUGCCAGACCAUGCUACCUGAGAUCCCAUACCUAAGUGCCUGACAACUGGGAUGGGAGAAAAGUAUUAAUAAGAUCAGUCUCCCUCCGGCAGUCUGGAUAAAGCUGGGAAAGUCUGUUACAAGGUCUCCCUUGUCUCUUGGUUAGGGAAAAGCAUGUCUCACUGCUACUUUCUUGCCUAUUCAGAAGGAAGGAAAGAAGCAAGAAAGCAGCAAGCAAGCAAGGGGAAAAAAACGAGCAAAACAGAGAAGUUCUGUUGAGGUCAUGUUUCACUCCAUUCAGAGGCUAAUGCUGUUCCAGGGACUGGGAAGAAUUUCAAAGAACAAUGCAUUUCUUAACUAUGCUUUUCCCGCUGUUGAUUUUCUCACUUCAUUUGAGUUUUUCAUCAGUCAGCAGAAAGGCAGAGAGCUGGGCAGCUGGAGGGGAAAAGAGGAGGAAUGCUGCCUUUACUGAUAGCUGAAGAGUGGCAGAGAGAAGGGCGUCUUUCCUAUUCCGGUCAUGCAGAAAGUGGUGCGCAUUACUGUAGGAGUGACAAUAUCAGAGACUGAACAUGACAAAUACGCCCAUCGAUAUAUUCCUUGGAGGUACACAUCAGCAACCUUGUUAAGUAAGAAGUUAUGCAUGUAUGUCUUCAUUCUCUCCAUGUUGAUGCAACCCGUACAAACACAGAGAUGAAAGAGGAAAAAGAUAAACAAGAGGAACAAGCUGAAAGACAUAAAAGUGUUAAGAUUUAUGUACAUUUCCAUAAAUUCAAUUCUAAAUUAAACUGUUCUUUUAUUUCCUCUCUUUUUAGAGUAGUUUAACUCCCAUUCUGUCCGUUUUUUAUCCUUAUGUCAAGAAAGGUUCGGUGCUUGUUUCAUCUGAAUCAUUUUAUAUAGGUAUAAUGGUUAGAUAAAUUUGACCAACACUUACUAGAAUAGUUUGAUUUUUAAGAAUGUAUUUAAAGUUCAUUUCUCUAUAACAGAGCAAUUAUCUCAAAGUACGUGGCAAUAGCUGGCAUUAGCUGCUCAGCAUAAUUUACAAUAUACUGAGAAGACAAAAAUUGAUGCCUGUUUUCUUUUUUUAUAGCAAUUUUUGUAAUGAAAUAUUUUCUUUCACACUUCCUAAGAAAGUAGCUUUCAUAAGCAUUCUGAAGUGCCAUCCUCAAACAAAGGAUUUAUAAGCCAAUUGAAGGAACAUGCUUACUGUAAAAUAAAUGAGUGGCUUUUUUAUGAAGGGGAGCAUAACAUGCCUUUUCAUUUGAUGAGCUCUAAAAGAAUCAUUUGGAACAUAUGACGAUUUUGGCAAGACAGCAACCUGUGCAACUUACCUGCUGAGUGACUGAAAACUAAGAAUAAAUAAUAUCAUGUUCUUCCUAGGUACUGUAGAAAAGAUUGCCUAAAUACAGGACUACAUGCCAAAAGUGGAGCUUGACCAGAGUUUGGUACCAAAAUGUUCACAGAGAAAUGCUGAUUCAAAACUUUUGAAGUCCAAGCCUGAGGGUGCCAGUGCUCCAAAACCUGCUGAUUUAUUUUCUUCUUUCAAGCAUUUUGAGUCGCACCUCUGCUCGUCCUUGGUACUAUCCCAGGGUAAGCAGCUUAAUACCAUGUCCCCUCUAGUGGUAAAACGUGUCAUUUAUUUAUCCUAGUGUGCCAGUCUGGAAGGUAUCCUGCAACACCCACUUAGGAGACAGGCUGCCACAAAAUGCCUUUGUGGUCAGUAUUUUUUAUGCCACCAAAAUUGUGGUUUAUCAUUCAAUCUACUUUUUGCUUAAGAGAUUAGUGAUUAAAGGUUGAUGAUGUGCUCAGUGACUUUGUAUGAGAAGGAAAUUCAUUAAUCAGUAGCAAAAUCAGACUCUUUCUUAUCUUCCAUUUUUCUUGCUCUAUACAUCUUUAGUUUUUACAUUGAAUGUUGGCACAGCUCCUUCAAGGCACACAGAGAGAUCUUUCACCCAGUAUGGGCUAUAUCCUGGAAGUCAGCGCAAUAUCUGAUUAGUAAACAUAGAUGUGAACUACCUUCAGAUUAAUAAAACAAUUAUAUCUAGGUCUCUUACCGCCUCAGUAAGUGCUUUGCCUGUCAUGCUCCUGCAUAAAGAGAGGAAAGGGGGAGUUUCCAGCAGAUGGGUUUCUAGAGAAAUGUUUGACCUCUGCUUGGUUCUUUGAGGGAAAAUACCUACUUCUGCAAAUCUGAGGGAUGGAUCACAAGUGCAGGAUCUUAGAUUUGUGCUUGUACUUGACAUUUCCUUAUUGACAGCUCUAGCAUGACCCUUUGCUCAACACAGUAGCUCCUCUAAAUCCUAUCCAGAGACAUUUACCUCUUGUAGGAACAGUGUGCACUGUUCAGAGAGGCUUGGCACCAGCGCUGCAUAUUCCACACUGGGGUGAAUGUGCAGAAGGUAGAGAUUGUAGUGCCUAAUUGUAAGCAUCUAUUUAUUUCAUUGAAUUUCAUUUUACUGCCAUCUUUGCUGCAGAAUUCCUCAAGGCUCAGCUUUUUUUUUGUUUUUUUGGCCUUUGUAUGUCAUAUUUUAAGUAACUCUCUUAACUAGUCUAGAAUGCAUACACUAAAGAAAACUUUUCUGUAGUAAUUCAAACAAAAUAUGUAAUAUGUUGCUCUGUUCUUCUUUUAAAAAUAUUUCCUGCAAUGAGCCUGCCUCUAUUGCCGUGAUCACAACAACCUUAUUUUUAUUGUUUGCUGUUCAAUCUGUUGCUUGUUGUAACAACUUGCCUUUUUUCCCAUGCUUCCAGUGUGCACUUUUCAUGAUAAAGAUCAUUAUUUGUUGUGUUUUCAUAAAACACGGAAAAAAGUGAUCCGGGAGCUGCUAGGUAUUCUUGUAAAAUAACUAAUGAUGAUAAUAGUUAGGAUAUCUCAACUAGUAUUAUGCCUAAAAUGGUAGUGACUGAACUAUUAACUUGAAAACAGAAACCAUCUCUGUACAGUCAGUACAGUAUAGUAACAGAAAGCAAUAAAAUGAUAUUUUAAUUAGCGUUUCAGAGUAUGUAGCACCUAUGUGGAAGUAGUCUCUGAGGGACUUACCAUAGUUUCAACAACGUAUUGAAGCUUCCCUUCCCUGAAGGAAGUCUGUCAUUAGAGGCAAGGCAUGAAGUUGAUAAUGAAUUCCCUAAGUACCCAAGUAAAGAGAGAUUUCAUGUCUUUGAAAGAAUCCCACCGGUACUGUCUCGCUUGUGCUUGUCAGCAAAAAGCACUAACUGAUGCCUCUUCUCUAAGUAAGAUAGUCUGGAAGUUGGCUUAAGAAAGAGCGAGAUACUGUGUUUGCAACUAAAAAGAUGAAGCAGAGAAAAAUUUAUGUUGGUCCUCCAACGCUGAGUUUUUGUCAUGGAUCUCUGUUCUUCAUUAGUCCUUUCUCUCCUUUUAGCUUCACCUAUCUUAGUAAAUACUUUGGUUACCCAUAUCUGGAUUUGAUGAAGUAUUUCAAUUUAAUGUGAUUCAAACACCUAUUCCAGCACACAAAAAUAAAAAUUCAGGAAAUAGAGUUCACAUAAGCAAGAAACUUAACAAAAUCAUGUCAUCGGUUUCGGUAACUAAGUUUAAGAACAAUUUAUCUGCAGAUGUUCUGCCUGGGUCAGACAGGUGAUCAGACUAGAUGGCCAUUUUGUCUGUAAACCAAUGGGGUAUUCUGCAAGGAGCACUCCAUUACCUGUGAGGAAAAUUUCCAAGUUGUAGAUUAACUCUUCCUGAUCCCGUUUGUCAACGUAUGCAGAUUCUAGAAAAAGUAUUAUAUCAGCUUGCUUAAGGCAGCAUUAGCCCAGGAAUUUCUGUUCUACAUUCUUUCCUUUUUGAGAUAUUUUGUCCCAUAACCUAGCUUAAAUGUCCUUUUCAUUAUUCAUAAUGCAGUUUUUUCCAGAUUAUUUAUUCCCUCUAUUGCACUAAAUCACUGAGCCCAGAGUAUUACUUUUUCCUUUUUUAUUUUUUGAGAACAAAUUUACUCUAAUAUUUUUAAGUUACAACGUGCAAGUGUUUCUGCUUCUGCGUUACCCAGUUACAUACACUUCCCAAAAGUAUGUAUCUACAGGCAUAUAAAGGAGUAGGUUAGACUGAAAAAGUCAAUUAUUUACAGAUGACUUAAAUUCAUUA